AGUAAAAUGACCGAGAUUUAGGUGAUAAAUUGUAAAUUUAUUUACGGAGUAAUUCCUUUUACUA
rnacentral:tRNA from 1 species